GUAAAUGCGUUGAUGAGGACAGUAGUCCUUUCCGAAUGCCACAGAGAGGGAUGUAUUUUGCUGGGAGCAUCCUGCUUUGGAAAGAGAACGAAAACCACCUCUGAGCGGCUUUAAUACAGCCCGGUGACUCCGUUAUCGUCGGAAAUGAGUGGUUUAAUCAGAACAAUUAGGGUGGAACCGCGGGAGUAGAUGCUCUCGUCCCUUUU
rnacentral:ncRNA from 1 species